rnacentral:rRNA from 1 species
GACGAACGCUGGCGGCGUGCUUAACACAUGCAAGUCGAGCGGAAAGGCCCUUCGGGGUACUCGAGCGGCGAACGGGUGAGUAACACGUGAGUAAUCUGCCCUUGGCUUUGGGAUAACUACCGGAAACGGUGGCUAAUACCGGAUACGACAACCGUCUGCAUGGGCUGGUUGUGGAAAGUUUUUUCGGCCAGGGAUGUGCUCGCGGCCUAUCAGCUUGUUGGUGGGGUAAUGGCCUACCAAGGCUUCGACGGGUAGCCGGCCUGAGAGGGUGACCGGCCACACUGGGACUGAGACACGGCCCAGACUCCUACGGGAGGCAGCAGUGGGGAAUAUUGGACAAUGGACGGAAGCCUGAUCCAGCAACGCCGCGUGAGGGAUGACGGCCUUCGGGUUGUAAACCUCUUUCAGUACCGACGAAGCGCCGAUGAUGGUGGUGACGGUAGGUACAGAAGAAGCACCGGCCAACUACGUG